rnacentral:tRNA from 1 species
GUUUUUGUAGUUGAAGACAACAGUGGUUUUUCGUGCCGCAGGUCUUGGUUGAAGUCCAAGUAAAAAUG